AGGACCUCCUGGAGUGCUAUGGGCAGGCCAGCAGAGCCCUGACUGCAGCCCAGAGAGGAAAAUGACUUGCCCAGUCAGUAAGUGGCAAAGUGAGUACCAAAGGCCAAGUUCCUUGACUCUUGUGUGCAUGUUUUGAUGUUCCUUUCAUACAUGUAGGAUGCAUUUUUACCCAGGCCUAAUGCGGAGCAGGGUUGGGAGAUGUUAGCCACCCUCUCUUCAACUCUAUCAGCACCCCGUCCCUCCACACACUCACCUUUUACUUGGCAUGAACAGCUGAUGUUCCCCUAGUUCAGGUAAAUUCUGUGCAAAGAUGACAAGCUGGGUCCCCAAGCCCACCCUUUCCCAACCAAUGAGGGGCCUAAGUCCUUCCUGUAUCGAAAUUCUGGAGCCACCAGUACAUAACUGCCUCUUCUAGGAGACUGUCAGCUUCUUCCCAAGGACAGGAAAUAGAACCCCUCCCCCCACCGCUUUCUCUGAUGUCCCCAGAAGUAUAAUGUGAGCUCUGCAUAGUGUAGACUUACAAUGAAUAUUUGCUCCUGGGUCUGCUGCUGGAGUGGCCAACUAUGCUCAGUCCCAAUUAAGGAAGCUUGUGUAUUUGAAAACCAGGAUUCCUUGCAUAGUCUCUCUAGGACAAGCCAGGAGUUAAAUAAUAAGAUGAAUUUCAAUUUUUCAUGGCUCAUAUCACUUUGAUGCUAUAUAUCAUGGAUUCCUACCCUACGCUGUGGAUUCCUCAAGCAAAGCCACCAUGUGUCAGCACGUAGUUGCUACUCCGUGUUUGCUAAGUGAAUGACUCAGAAUCUGGAUACGUGAUCCUUAUAGUACCUAAUAGCGUACCUAAGGGCAGCACACCUUACUUGAAAAGACGUCCGACUGUACUAUCACAUAACAGUGAGUGAUUACAUAAUGCUUUUUACCUUCAGAGAGAGAUAAACAAAUGGAAUUUACAACACAGUGUAAAAUAUGAAGGCGAUCAUUGGUCACCUCUGUGCCUUCUGCUUUUCACAUUGUAGUGAGGUGACUCUUAUAAGAAAGGAUGGUACACAUUUCAGGACGGCUGUAGACAUACACUGGGUUAUCUGCUCAGUUGUUAUCUUCUCGGGGUACAGUUCAACCUGCCCCAACCCCCUCCAAACACAUCCGCUCACCACACCCCUCGGUGUGGUCCAGGCAGCCAUGUUUAUGCAGUGACCUGCUCGGGUUCUCUCUUCUAAGAAUUUGGAAUUUGAAAUAUAGAGACACAAAGAAAGGAGGCUGUCUGGAGAGGCAGACCCAUUAGAGGCAGCCCCCCUGGAGGGGAGGUUCACACCACACACACACACACACACACACACUCACAGAAUUGAAAUGGAAUCAGAAAACUUGGUAGUUCUCAGGAUUCAAUAUAUAGAAUCUGAAAGUGAAUUAAUCUUUUCUCCCUGUUGCUUUCUACACCUCCAUGGUAAAAAUAACAAUAAAAGCUUGUAUUUUAUUUCAUAUUUCGAAUGAUUCUAGAAGCCCAUGGAGGGCAAGAAUGCACUUACCUUUCUACUUCCCAUAGGCUUAACGAAUCCCUGACCCUCCUCAGGCACUCAGUGAACACUGAUGUAGCUGAAGUAAUUUGAUUGACCGUAUUGACAAAAACAGUGAAUUUGCACGUUUCUGGGGUAAACAAUAUUAAGACUCUACUCACAUUUAAUCACCUAUCUGCUUUAACAACGACACCACAAGGAUGAAAGGGAAAUUCCUGUGGGAUGUUUUAGUGGCUUUCUCUGCCCUCAGGCUUCCCCACUGCCUGUGUCCCCAGGGACCCCACAGGGGACACACCGUUGGGAAAGGGUACAGAGAGCAAUCGGGGCCUGCAGUCCGUGGAUAUACCCUGAGCAGACUCUCUCCAGGCCCAGGCUGACCUUCUGAACUUUUGAACCAGCUCUUUGGGCACAGAGAGUCCAGAGGCUCUGGAGAGAGUUGAGAAUGAGCUGGGGGCGUGGAGCCUGGACAGAAGGUGGUGGGUGUGGAGGGUGACAGCUCGCCCCUGAGGACACAGUUGGCAGAGACCUUCAGUGGUUGCCUACAGGUGAGUAGCCUCCUGUCUGAAGAGUUUGUUAGUUCACUGCACUGGCCGCCUAAAGUCACUCAUGAAGGACUGGGGGAUGGUCUUGGUGAGGUGGGGAAGGGUGCAGAGUCAAGGCCGGCAGUCCCAGGGAUCAAAGCAUUCAGGGUGUGGAAACCUAUCCCCCUGCACUCCACAUCAGGUGUCCUUCAGUCGGUGCCCUCGUUCCUGCCCUCUGGGAGGCCCUGCCCUGAUAAACAGCUAUGGAAUGUCGACACACAUGUGAAUGUGCUUGCAGCUGAAGCUCUUGAACAUUCAAAUGCCUUCCCUGCUGGAUAAUCUCUGAAAGAAGUUGGACAAAGGAGAGGGGAAUGGACCCAGGGAGCUUAAGAAAUGUUUUUGUAAACCUGUAUCCGGCCACACUAAAUAUGUAUGCAAUGUAGGUGGGCCUUGCACUCCGGGGGGUUUCCAUUCAUGUGUUAGGAUUUCAGUGAUAAGAAAAUAUAUUUUUAAGUUCUUUUUCCAUGCCUGUGAUGUAUCUUGGAAAGUUAGCAGCUGGGGAGAUUUUUUUUUCCUACUGCGUCCUAUUUAAAAAAAAAAAAUUAAAACAAACCUUUUGAUUUUUUAAAGUAAUUAUGCCUACCAUUUAGAAAAAGCUACCUUAUUAAUAUUUUGAUAGACUUCCCAGACUCUUACUUACACACCUAUACAUGAAAAGAUACAGCUUUAAGAAUAUGAGAUCACACCAUACUGUUUCAUAACCUGACUUUUUUUUAUGCAAGAAUCUAUAGUGAACCUAUGUCCAUGGACAUCAAAAGAU
rnacentral:lncRNA from 1 species